GAUGAACGCUGGCGGCGUGCCUAAUACAUGCAAGUCGAGCGAACAGACGAGGAGCUUGCUCCUCUGACGUUAGCGGCGGACGGGUGAGUAACACGUGGAUAACCUACCUAUAAGACUGGGAUAACUUCGGGAAACCGGAGCUAAUACCGGAUAAUAUAUUGAACCGCAUGGUUCAAUAGUGAAAGACGGUUUUGCUGUCACUUAUAGAUGGAUCCGCGCCGCAUUAGCUAGUUGGUCAGGUAACGGCUUACCAAGGCAACGAUGCGUAGCCGACCUGAGAGGGUGAUCGGCCACACUGGAACUGAGACACGGUCCAGACUCCUACGGGAGGCAGCAGUAGGGAAUCUUCCGCAAUGGGCGAAAGCUUGACGGAGCAACGCCGCGUGAGUGAUGAAGGUCUUCGGAUCGUAAAACUCUGUUAGUAGGGAAGAACAAAUGUGUAAGUAACUAUGCACGUAUUGACGGUACCUAAUCAGAAAGCCACGGCUAACUACGUG
rnacentral:rRNA from 1 species